CCCUUCGUAGAAUAAUGGUCAGUACACUCGGCGCGUAUUCGAGAGAUCCGAGGUUCGAGUCCCGGCGAUGGCA
rnacentral:tRNA from 1 species